UCCCCUACGGGGGGCAGCAGUGAGGAAUAUUGGUCAAUGGGCGGGAGCCUGAACCAGCCAAGUCGCGUGAGGGAAGACGGUCCUAUGGAUUGUAAACCUCUUUAGGCGGGGAGCAAUGCCGGGCACGCGUGCCCGGAGGGAGAGUACCCGCAGAAUAAGCAUCGGCUAACUCCGUGCCAGCCGCGGUAAUACGGAGGAUGCGAGCGUUAUCCGGAUUUAUUGGGUUUAAAGGGUGCGCAGGCGGCGUGUCAAGUCAGCGGUAAAAUGUCGGGGCUCAACCCCGGCCGGCCGUUGAAACUGGCGUG
rnacentral:rRNA from 1 species